GGCACAGAGAUGGAAUGAGCUGUUGACUGCCUGCAGCAGCACCGUGGGCUCCUCUUACAGAUAUCUACCUGAGAGCAUCCAACACCAUUUAGCAUAAAAGUCAUUUGAGCUCUGGCCCCCUGUCUGCAACUCACUUAUUUACCGGUAGCUGAUAACUUUGUGGAACAUAGACGGCACCCACCAGCUUUACAGAGAUAGCUGUUUGAGUCUAAUAAACAUGCAGCUGGAUGACUCAAUUUAUCCCACAAUCCGUUCAGCCAGAGGAAUACCAUUUGUCAUUUAAUACAAGGUUAUUAUGAAACUAAACAGAAUAACAAGGUUAAAGAUCAUUGAACCAUCAUUAUGUCUACAAAAUGGGUCUCAGGCAUGAUGACUACAACAAAGAAAGAUGGCACAACUGUCACAGCAUGGAGAAAGACGUGGCACAUACACAGAAGGAGAGCUGCCGGGUAUUGGUGCACACAGAAGCAGUGAUGGUGGGACUGCGGCUGUGGCGCCCUUCCCAGGGCAGGCGCAUGGAUCAUGAGCUCCACUGGAUCAACCCUUGCUAGACCCCUGGUCAGGAGGAUAUGAAAAUGAAGAAAGAGAAAAUACGUUUAACGGAAAAAAUAAGGAAAAUACUGCUGAUCCAAGGGAGACGGGAAAAAUAUAAUUCUUACAAGUUAAUUUCAGCCAUUUCUCCCAGCAAAUUUGAUCUGAAGUUAGCAUGCUUACGUUGAUCUGUAGGACUGAUCACUGUGGUGCCUAUUAUUAUAACCAGUGUCGUAUACGAGGUCAUCUUGCCUGAUUGAUCUGAGCACCAGACUGUGUGGUGUUGGCGAAACCAAACUGGAACAAGAUGUAAGAAAGAAGUGUUCGGGUGGAAACCAAAGCACAUGCUAUACGGAAAUCAAUAUGUAAGCGGAAAGUACAGAAGAGUUAAGUAUUCAGAUGUUACCACACAUAAAAACAUCAAUUGUCUGGAAUCCAAAUUCUCAGCAGCUAGAUACCAUGUGGUUAUAAUUGUGCUCAGUUACAGCAUUCAGAAUAAAGGUAUG